CAGAAAGGAUAUCAAUAACUGGAGAAAAGGGAGCUCUGAUUUCUGCUUGGCUGUCAAGGGUCCAGACUCAGAGACAGUCUGUGCCCCCAGAUUGCUGAGAUGCCUGGGCAAUGAGAAGCAGAGGGCAGGACUCCACCUGAGGUUGUCCUUGGGAAAUGGCCUCUGUGAAGCCAGGCUUGACUUUGCAUUCCAGCAUGUCUGGCUCUUGAUUGAAGGCAGGAGAAGGGGAUGACAGAGGAUGAGAUGGUUGGAUGGCAUGACUGACUCAAUGGACAUGAGUUUGAGUAAACUCCAGGAGUUGGUGAUGGACAGGGAGGCCUGGCGUGCUGCAGUCCAUGGGGUUGCAAAGAGUUGGACAUGACUGAGCGACUGAACUGAACUGAAGCCAGGCUUAUCUUCCUGCAAACACUGAUGACCUCUACUGUCACCAUCAGGAUUUUCUGCAUUGGAGCCUCAUUCUGUUUAUUGGAACCCCUUGCUAUCAUCAUGGACCCCAACCUUUCCUCACUGUUCUGCCUCCAAGGGCAAUUGUCUCCUUGGGGUGGAUGCCUGAAGUAGAGGAAGAAGUGAGCCAUUUCCAUGAAGUGGGCUAAGAAUAUUCUCACUUUACCAGUGUGCUGAACCCAGUUUCUGAAAAUGCUACAUUCACGGGACACUCGUCUCCCUUUCACCUUCAUGAAUUCUGGCCACUCGGAUUCCCGUCACAGGUCCUGGACACGCACUCUGCCAGGAGUCCAGCUCCUGGAGUGGUUGCCAUUCUGGUCAAGAGUAUCCGGGAUCCAACUAGUACAGAACUACCCUGGCUACAAGUCAGCAGUGUGAUUUCAGCUGGCACUGGGCUUGCUGCUGGAAUCACGUAGAGGAACAGUGGAGACUCAGACUUUCCACUAUAAUAAUAAACUGCAG
ensembl:lncRNA